rnacentral:rRNA from 1 species
AGAGAGAGACAUGCGCGCAUAUCAAUAAGCGGAGGAAAAGAAACUAACUAGGAUUCCCUUCAGUAACGGCGAGUGAAGCGGGAAGAGCUCAAAUUUGAAAUCUUCAAGGUUUCUACCUUGACGAAUUGUAGUUUAAAGAAGUGUUUUCUGUUGAAGUUUUGGUAAAAGUUCUUUGGAAUAGGACAUCAUAGAGGGUGAGAAUCCCGUAUUUGACCAUUAUUUCCAGCUUUGUGAUACACUUUCAAAGAGUCGGAUUGUUUGGGAAUGCAGUCCAAAAUGGGUGGUAAAUUUCAUCUAAAGCUAAAUACUGGCGAGAGACCGAUAGCGAACAAGUACCGUGAGGGAAAGAUGAAAAGAACUUUGAAAAGAGAGUUAAACAGUACGUGAAAUUGUCAAAAGGGAAGCGUUUGACACCAGUGUUGUUUUCUCGAAAAUCAAUUAAAAAAGGCAGGAUUUUGUGUUGUAUUGACUUUAUCAGCUUUCUGCACUCUUUUCUUGUCUUUUUUAAUGCACUUUUCGUUUAACAAGUCAACAUCAAUUUCUUUUGUUGUAAAAGGGUCAUUGGAAGGUGGCUUUCUUUUCGGAGAAAGUGUUUAUAGCCUUUGGCCUCUGCAAUCGGAGAGAUUGAGGUCUGCAGCGUAGAUCCUUCGGGGUUAGAUACAUUUGUGCUAAGUUAUAGCCUUUCAUAGACAACUUGUUGACUAUGAUCAGUCAUGUAGCUUACUCGCUUAUGCUAUUUUACCUACGCUUAGGAUGUUGAUGUGAUACUGCGAGCA